rnacentral:rRNA from 1 species
AGCAGCCGCGGUAAUUCCAGCUCCAAUAGCGUAUAUUAAAGUUGUUGCAGUUAAAAAGCUCGUAGUUGAAUUUCGGGAUCAAAUUGUUGGUCGUGCCUCGGUACGCACUGGUAUUAUUGGUUCCUACCUUCUGAGGAACCGCGAUGUCAUUAAUUUGGUGUCGUGGGGAAUCAGGACUGUUACUUUGAAAAAAUUAGAGUGUUUAAAGCAGGCUUACGCUUGAAUACAUUAGCAUGGAAUAAUGAAAUAGGACGUUUGAUUCUAUUUUGUUGGUUUCUAGGAUUGACGUAAUGAUUAAUAGGGAUAGUUGGGGGCAUUAGUAUUCAAUUGUCAGAGGUGAAAUUCUUGGAUUUAUUGAAGACUAACUACUGCGAAAGCAUUUGCCAAGGAUGUUUUCAUUAAUCAAGAACGAAAGUUAGGGGAUCGAAGACGAUCAGAUACCGUCGUAGU